UGUCAGCCUAUCAUGUUUCAAGUCACGUGACAGGGGUCUUGCAAAACAGCAUAAAAGUAUUUGUCUGCAGAUCCGGAGGCUGCACGUUCAGGCCCGCACUUUUGGACCUGCACGUAUCCAUAAUUGGCUUUUUUCCCCUUGGAUACACGGGAAGUCUUGGAUCUACUGUAUGCGCCCUGUUAUCCUCCGCUUCUCACCCAGAGUCAGCUGGGAGAUGCAUUAGCUUACUCG